GACGUAGGGCGCGAGCGUUUGUCCGGAUUUAUUGGGCGUAAAGAGCUCGUAGGCGGCUCGUUGCGUCGGCUGUGAAAACCCGCAGCUCAACUGUGGGCUUGCAGCCGAUACGGGCGGGCUAGGAUUCGGUAGGGGAGACUGGAAUUCCUGGUGUAGCGGUGAAAUGCGUAGAUAUCGGGGAGGAACACCAGUGGCGAAGGCGGCUUUCUGGCCCAUUCUUGACGCUGAGGCGCGAAAGCUAGGGUAGCAAACGGGG
rnacentral:rRNA from 1 species